CUGAACAGAACGGCCUCGAUCCCGCG
rnacentral:tRNA from 1 species